rnacentral:rRNA from 1 species
CAGUCGCCGCGGGAAUACAGAGGAUGCAAGCGUUAUCAGGAAUGAUUGGGCGUAAAGCGUCUGUAGGUGGUUUAACAAGUUAGUGGUGAAAGGCAUAGGCUCAACCAAUGUAAGCCAUUAAAACUGUUUAACUUGAGUGCAGGAGAGGAAAGUGGAAUUCCUAGUGUAGCGGUGAAAUGCGUAGAUAUUAGGAGGAAUACCAGUGGCGAAGGCGACUUUCUGGACUGCAACUGACACUGAGGCACGAAAGCGUGGGGAGCAAACAGGAUUAGAUACCCCUGUAGUCCCUGUCUCUUAUACA